rnacentral:lncRNA from 1 species
AGUUGAUUCCUAGAGGUGGAAUCCAUUAAACUGACAAAGCCCCAGUCCCGGGGUCCUAAUAGUCGGGACUAUUAGGUCAUCCUGGGUACUCAGGCCUCUAGACUCUAGACUGAGCUGCCUUGGUCACUCGGGGACAGUUGGCAGAGUAUUCGUGGUCAGGGAGGUGACCCGUGGUCAGCAGGAUCAGGCCACCCAGGGACAAAGGGUGCUUCUGCGCCAGGCCCUGGAGAAGGACAGAGCGGUGGGGACUCGGGGUCGGCCGCAGAUAGGGGAGUCACCACCUGCCGGGUAAGAGCCAUGACUGCCUUUGCACUGUCCAUGCUCUCAGCCCACCACCUCCUCCCCCUGCCAUUGCAGUGGCUAACACUGGAGACGAAGACCAAGACACCACCGCCUUUCUCCAGUACCACUCAAAUCAGCACAGGCAAGGACAAAGGCCUCAAUCCACAACUGCUGAAGAUGGACCCUGGCCACAUGGGAUGGUCAGACACGCCUGCCCAGCUAUCUGCAGGCGAAGAGGCUCAGAAGAGGUUUAGGGGCCUGAAGGACAUCUUGCUUCCAUGUCCAUAUGAGCAGGCUAUUUCUGCUCCAUGAGUCAAUUUUGCCAUAUAAAAUACUUAAUUUCAGCCAUUCCAGGGUGCUGUAGGAUGCACAGCUUCCCAUCAGCCCACCUGAACUCCAGCCAUGCCAUUUUAAUACCAGGAAUAAGGUCACCUGCUUUCCUGCCCCUUAGGAGGCCAGAGCCGUGGAAGCAAAAUGGCACUUCUGUUUACCUGUUAUAUUAUUUUUUUGUCAUCCUUAUAUGCUUGGAAAAUGCAAUUAUAUGAAAAAAGUUUAGUAAUUACAGACAUAACAGCAGAAAGUCCUCGGAACCAAGCUUACUCUCAUGGCCGAUUCUGCUCCACCUGGGACUCUGCUGUGCUGCGGGCAUCCUGUGGUCAGAAUCGCAGAGGGGCCAUCAGGGAGGGCCUUCCCAGAGGAUGGACCUCACGUGACUGCUGCGUGGGCAAGUGGCACUGGCCACUCUGCCUGGAGAGAGGAGUAAAUGCAGGGCUGGCCAGGCGACCUGCACACUCUGCUAC